GCUGGGCGCUUGCGGGCUGGUGUUAAAUGCCGACUGCUUCUGAGCGAGCGGGAUGACGGCAAUGGCUCCCCACGGCGCUGCGGAGGAAGAAUGUGUCAGCGGGGCUCAGCUCGUCGCCGAGGCCCUAAAGACACAAAACAUUGAAUAUAUGUUUGGUAUUGUUGGUAUUCCAGUGACUGAAAUUGCAAUUGCAGCCCAAGCAAUUGGAAUAAAAUAUAUAGGAAUGAGAAAUGAACAAGCUGCUUGCUAUGCUGCCUCUGCUGUUGGGUACCUGACAGGAAGGCCAGGAGUAUGUCUUGUUGUUUCUGGUCCAGGUCUCAUACAUGCUCUGGGCGGAAUGGCAAAUGCGAACAUGAAUUGCUGGCCUUUGAUUGUUAUUGGAGGUUCCUCUGACAGGAAUCAGGAAAUCAUGGGAGCUUUCCAAGAAUUCCCACAGGUUGAAGCUUGUAGGCUAUACAGCAAACUUUCUGUCAGACCCAGCAGCCUAGAAGCUAUUCCUGCUGUUAUUGAAAAGGCAGUGAGGUGCAGUACCUAUGGUCGUCCAGGUGCCUGUUAUGUUGACAUGCCAGGAGACUUUGUAAAUCUACAGGUGAACAAGAGCUCUGUCAAAUAUGUUAAAUGCUGUUUGCCACCUCCUGUCUGCACAGCUGAACACUCUGCUGUAUCUGUAGCAGCAUCUAUCCUUGCACAUUCCAGACAGCCUCUCCUAAUCAUUGGCAAAGGUGCUGCUUAUUCACGUGCUGAAAACAGCAUCAGAAAGUUGGUGGACCAAUGCGGGCUACCCUUUUUGCCUACCCCAAUGGGAAAAGGAGUUGUUCCUGACAACCAUCCAAACUGUGUAGCUGCAGCCAGAUCCAGGGCAUUGCAACAUGCUGAUGUAAUAAUAUUGUUUGGUGCCAGGUUGAACUGGAUUUUGCACUUUGGACUUCCACCAAGAUUUCGACCAGAUGUAAAGAUUAUCCAGGUUGAUAUUUGUGCAGAAGAGCUGGGGAAUAAUGUGAGACCUGCUGCAAAUUUAUUAGGUGACAUAAAUGCCGUGACUGAGCAGCUUUUAGAACAACUUGUUCUAAUGGAAUGGAAAUAUCCUUCUUAUUCAGAGUGGUGGAAGGGAUUAAGAGAGAAAAUGAAGAGCAAUGAAGAAACAUCCAAGGCAUUGGCAUUACAAAAAUCCCUGCCUAUGAAUUAUUAUACAGUAUUCCAUCAUGUCAGAGAACUGUUACCCAGGGACUGCAUUCUGGUUAGUGAGGGAGCUAAUACUAUGGACAUUGGACGUACUAUGCUUCCAAACUAUCAUCCUCGCCACAGACUCGAUGCUGGUACAUUUGGAGCAAUGGGAGUUGGGCUAGGAUUUGCUAUAGCAGCUGCAAUGGUGGCUAAAGAUCAGACACCUGAACGGCGAGUGAUCUGUGUAGAAGGAGACAGUGCUUUUGGAUUUUCUGGCAUGGAAGUGGAAACUAUUUGCAGGUAUAACUUGUCAGUUGUAAUUAUCGUAGUAAACAACAAUGGGAUAUACCGUGGUUUGGAUGCAGAUACUUGGAAGGAGAUGUUAAAGUCUGGAGAACCAACUGUGUGUGCACCACCUGUUUGUCUCCUGCCAAAUUCUCACUAUGAGCAGAUUAUGUCUGCAUUUGGGGGUAAAGGGUACUUUGUAAAAACACCAGAGGAACUUCAAAAUGCCCUAAAAGCAAGCCUGGCAGAGAAGCAAGUGCCUUCCCUUAUCAAUGUAAUGAUCAACCCACAAUCUGACAGAAAACAGCAGAUAAAGGAACCUGGACUCAGACUGAAUUCCUGAAGAACCGAGUGGAAGAAGUCUCAAGGAAAUGCCAGAAUAGUGGUGCCAUGACUCGGCUGCCAUUUGUCUGGAGCAGGACAGUUGAGAGCUGAGUAGAGAGAGAAGAGAGAGGUUGGCAACAUCUACACCUGAGGACAUGGCUGCUCUGAAGUAUAUGAUGCCCAUGAAGUGGUUAAUUUUUAAAGCUUGUGGCUUUCAGAAGUUAUUAGGCAACAGUGCCCUGCCCUCAGGUUGUGUUCACCCAAUGAGUAUUCUGAAGACUUAAUAGUGCUACCUCGUAUUUAAUCGACUGACUGUAUUGUCAGUUGUUGAACAGUGUUUAUAGAGAUGUGGAAUAAGCCAGAACUUUCUUGUCCAUAUAGUUGGAUUUAGCUCAUCACAAAGUUAGCUAAUUUUUCUGCCUUGUCUCUAGAGACCUUUGGUUCUAAACACAACAGCAGGGAAGUGUUGUGACCAUUCUUUGCUUUUCUCAUUUGUUACCUUGUUUACUUCAGGAACUGGUUUUGAUGGGCUGUACCUGCAGGUAAUAUCUUCCCAAAGAAAUUUUGGCUUCAUCAUAGAACUGUGAACACCCAUGUUGGUAAAUGGACCUAAUUUUUGCGCACACACAGACAAAAACCAGGUUCUUGUUGUUAAAAAUGGCUAGCAUUAAAUUAAUGCUAUGUGAAUAUUCUGCAAAUUUUGCAAAGAAAAACAUAAUUAAAAUUAUCUUUUCCAGCUCUCCUCUAAUUAAAUGAAUAGGUUUUUUCUGUACUGCUUACUUUGCAGACAUAAAGGCAUAUUAAAUUAUUGCAUUAAUACUCUUGUCUUGUUCCCAGUCACACCGCUGAAGAUCUUUCAUUCGUAUGAACUGAAAAGGCUUGAUUGGCUUUGUUCUUUAAUUAAACUUUUGAUUGCACAGGCCUUUGAGAUUACUGAUGGUUUAUUUUAGGUGCAUUCAUUCUCCUUUGGCCUGCAGAUGAAGGAGCUGCCAGCUGAAAGUAGAUGGGACUGGGAAGAAGCCUUCUCUUUAAUUGAAUUGUCAUUAAUUCUUGCACAGAAAGGACAGGUUCAUAAAUUCAGUUUACAUGGGAGGACUGAUCAAUAGGGCUCCACCAUCCUCUCCCUUCAAGACUUUAGCUCUGGGCUGAAAAAGGCAAUAGACAGCUAUUGGAGCAGGUAAGGUAGUGGCUGUGUUGUUUUUUGCCUGUAAUGAUUAGUUGGAUUUUUGACAUUUACUUAAUUAAUAUAGCAUCAAAUGUAGAUUUUUUGAAGUCCCAGUUUAUUCCCUGAAAUAAAAAGACUGAUAUACC